GCGGGAAAAGCAAAAGAUGGCGGAGCCCGUGAGCGGUCGGUGGUCGGGAGAGGCCGUCGCCGCGGUGGCUCCCAACGGGCGCUAGAGACCCGGGUUUGGUUCUCGCACAAGUCAUCGGAAUCCUGAUUAGAAAUGUCUGUGCGCAAGACUGAGGUCGAACGGGUGCACGAGGUGCUGUCCCUCAUGUUGAAGAAUUUGGAAUGUCCAAUAUGUUUGGAUUUGAUGAAAGACCCAGUUUCAACAAAAUGUGAUCACCAAUUU